UUUUUCUAACCAAAGUGAAAACUGGGUUCAGUCAAUUUUCUGGAAAAACAAUUAAACUCGUAUGGUAUUCCAAGAGAAAGGCGUGGUCUUAAAGUACGGAAUUCUUAUGAAGAAAAUAAUGACGAUCGAUGAAGUUGAUGGAAAGUUGGUAGAAAUCAACGACCAGAUCGGACGAUGCCGUAGAUUACCGAUCGUCGAUCAGAUCAAGCAAAUGACAAUUACGAGCGAUUACGCUGCGUCUAUGGAAUAUAACAGACGCUUUUGCUCCCAAGUACAAAGUGAAGAGAAGUAUAUAAGUAGGCGUGUUACGCUCAAAAGUUUUCAUUCUUUUAACGGACAGACAACAGUGCAAACUACGAAGGUAUGAAGAAAUUGGACUGGUACGCCUUCUUUUUUACUAACCAGAAUAUUCACUCUCGAUAGAUGAAUUCGUGGACAGCAGAGUCUGUGCACUUUUUAUGAUUUUUUUCAUAAUUUCUUUAUCGGUUUAUUACUGAACGACAGGGAGAAACUCAUUUUAAUUUUAUGAGCCGUAAUGGUUACACUCGGCUACCUACAGCCAAUAGACAUUAAUACGUGUUCUGCAUUAAUAUACAGGGUGCAUUGAAUUCUUGAUGUUGAAGAAUUGAUCCGUCAAUGAGUUACAUAAGAAUUACUCUUUUCUGAUUGCAUGACUUUUGAGUCUUCAUUUCACGACCGUCUGAGACUACAGGAGGCUUUGGUACUGAGUAUUGGUUUUUUUUUUAAGAAUGUGGAGGUAGUAUUAAGACACUGGUAUUUCGAUAAAACGAUGAAAUAUUUGUUAAAGAAUCUGAAGGCCAACGAUUUCUCAUUAUUUUAAUAGGGAAUUAUGCGAAGUGUUGUUUCAUGGAUUUUGGUUACUCGAUACACUCUCUAUAGCAUCUGUAAAGCGACAUGCAUAAAUUUUCAAAUUAACUAGGAGUUCAAUGUUCAUUAUGCAAAAUCAAUUAUAUUAUUUGUCAACUUACAAGGAGUCGCUUAAAUGUACAUAUAAUUAAAAUGUCAAGAGGA